rnacentral:rRNA from 1 species
UACGUAGGGUGCGAGCGUUGUCCGGAAUUAUUGGGCGUAAAGAGCUCGUAGGUGGCCUGUCGCGUCGGCUGUGAAAACUCGGGGCUCAACUCCGAGCUUGCAGUCGAUACGGGCAGGCUAGAGUUCGGCAGGGGAGACUGGAAUUCCUGGUGUAGCGGUGAAAUGCGCAGAUAUCAGGAGGAACACCGGUGGCGAAGGCAGCACUCUGGGACGUGACUGACGCUGAGACGCGAAAGCGUGGGGAGCAAACAGG